UACAGAGGUCUCAAGCGUUGUUCGGAUUCAUUGGGCGUAAAGGGUGCGUAGGCGGCGCGGUAAGUCGGGUGUGAAAUCUUGGAGCUUAACUCCGAAACUGCAUUCGAUACUGCCGUGCUUGAGGACUGGAGAGGAGACUGGAAUUUACGGUGUAGCGGUGAAAUGCGUAGAUAUCGUAGGGAAGACCAGUGGCGAAGGCGGGUCUCUGGGACGGUACUGACGCUGAGGUGCGAAAGCGUGGGGAGCAAACAGG
rnacentral:rRNA from 1 species